rnacentral:lncRNA from 1 species
GAUGAUGUUACGACAACAGAAGUGCUGAAUUAUGAGUGGAGCAAAUAUUUUUGUGUCUUCUCAAAUAGGAAUUUAUCAGGAACAUGAGAGGAGAGUCGUGGAUUGGUCUGUAUUCUAAACAGACAUCAGGAAGAUAUAAAUGGGAAUGGGUGGACGAAUCAGCGCUGACAGAAAUGUUCUGGGCACCAGGAUAUGAGACUCCCCGGUAUUGGUACCGUGGAGUCUGCUGUGACAGUGAUGGGAAAUGGACACAGUCAUAUUAUGAUGAUGAGAAGACCUUCAUCUGUGAGAAAUGAGUUUGGUGCGUUGAUGUAAAUGUUUGCAUAAUCCAACCAAAGACACCUCACUAUGAAAUGUCCUGCAUGAGCCUCAGACUCAGCUCACAGUUGUUACUUGUUCAUUCUGCAUCAUAUAUUGAUUACAUAUAUUGUCCCUCUGUGCUCUGUGCUGUACAGUAAGGUUGGAAGUCAUCCACACAAAAACUUGAAGUACUUCAUUACUCUGUAGUUCCAGCAAAUUGUUCUAAUAAAAGUCAAAGUGCAGCUUGUCUUUACUUUGUUUACUUGGUUUCUUCAUCAGUCUGUUGGUCCUAAAACUACAGUAAAUGUCUUGUUUGUAAAAGUUCUCUCCAAGUCAUAACAUGACUGUUACAUGCAGCCAGAUUGUCCACACGGUCAUGUUGUGCUUACAAAAA